rnacentral:rRNA from 1 species
UACAGAGGUCUCAAGCGUUGUUCGGAUUCAUUGGGCGUAAAGGGUGCGUAGGCGGCGCGGUAAGUCGGGUGUGAAAUCUCGGAGCUUAACUCCGAAACUGCAUUCGAUACUGCGUGACUAGAGGUAGGUAGGGGAGAUCGGAAUUCCUGGUGUAGCGGUGAAAUGCGCAGAUAUCAGGAGGAACACCGGUGGCGAAGGCGGAUCUCUGGGCCUUACCUGACGCUCAGGCGCGAAAGCGUGGGGAGCAAACAGG